rnacentral:tRNA from 1 species
GGAGGGGUGGCCGAGUGGCUGAAGGCGCACGCUUGGAAAGCGUGUAGGCGUGUAAGCGUCUCGCGGGUUCGAAUCCCGCUCCCUCCGCCA